UACGUAGGGGGCAAGCGUUGUCCGGAAUCAUUGGGCGUAAAGCGCGCGUAGGCGGCCCGGUAAGUCCGUUGUGAAAGUCAAAGGCUCAACCUUUGAACGCCGAUGGAUACUGCCGGGCUAGAGUCCGGAAGAGGCGAGUGGAAUUCCUGGUGUAGCGGUGGAAUGCGCAGAUAUCAGGAGGAACACCAAUAGCGAAGGCAGCUCCGCUGGGACGGUACUGACACUGGAGGCGCGAAAGCGUGGGGAGCGAACAGG
rnacentral:rRNA from 1 species